AUAUUAUUAAGCGGAGGAAAAGAAAUUAACAAAGAUUACCUUAGUAAGGGCGACUGAACCGGUAAAAGCUCGAAAUUAGAAUCGACCAUUCAAAGAAUUGUCGAAUUGUAAUCAGGCCUGCAAAAAUACGGAAAACGUCUUAAUCACCUCGAAGGGUGGACCAUAGAGGGUGCGAGUCCCGUAAAGACCUAUUCCGAGUACUGUAGGCUCUACUAGAGUCGGGUUGCUUGGAACUGCAGCCCUAAAGGGAGAUAUGACUCUUCCAAAGCUAAAUAUGGAUGGGAAACCGAUAGCGAACAAGUACUGUGAAGGAAAGAUGAAAAGGACUUUGAAAAGAGAGUGAAAAGAUCUGAAAUCGUUGAGGAGCAAGCGGUAAAACUGACAUGGGAAAUGAGUGGGCUACGCGAUAACAUCGUAGAACCUAAUUCAAAACCCUCGGCAAAAUCAAGUUAAACUGGCCAAAAAAGGCGUAAGCCGGACAGGGUCGGAUCAACUUGAGGAACUACGGUGAUUUUGCCAAAAUGGUAUUUACCGU
rnacentral:rRNA from 1 species